AACGAACGUUGGCGGCGUGGAUUAGGCAUGCAAGUCGAGGGAAUCCCAGCAAUGGGGGAACCGGCGUAAGGGGCAGUAAGGCGUGGGUACCUACCCUGGGGUUCGGGAUAGCCGUCCGAGAGGGCGGGUAAUACCGGAUGAUCUCGGGAGAGCAAAGAUUUAUCGCCCUGGGAGGGGCCCACGUGAUAUUAGCUAGUUGGCGGGGUAACGGCCCACCAAGGCGGAGAUGUCUAGCGGGUGUGAGAGCACGACCCGCGCCACUGGCACUGAGACACUGGCCAGACACCUACGGGUGGCUGCAGUCGAGGAUCUUCGGCAAUGUGCGCAAGCACGACCGAGCGACGCCGCGUGGGCGACGAAGGCCUUCGGGUUGUAAAGCCCUGUCGAGGGGGAGAAAGGGGCAACCUUGAUCUAUCCCUGGAGGAAGCACGGGCUAAGUUCGUGCCAGCAGCCGCCGUAAAAC
rnacentral:rRNA from 1 species